rnacentral:piRNA from 1 species
UAGCAAGAUAUGGAUGGCCAAGUGACCC